rnacentral:rRNA from 1 species
UACAGAGGGUGCGAGCGUUGUUCGGAAUUAUUGGGCGUAAAGGGCGCGUAGGUGGCGACCCAAGUCGAUGGUGAAAGCUCGCCGCUCAACGGCGAGUCGGCCACCGAUACUGGGUUGCUGGAGCACUGUAGAGGCUCAUGGAAUUCCGGGUGUAGCGGUGGAAUGCGUAGAGAUCCGGAAGAACACCGGUGGCGAAGGCGGUGAGCUGGGCAGUUGCUGACACUGAGGCGCGACAGCGUGGGGAGCAAACAGG